UGGGGAAUUUUGGACAAUGGGGGCAACCCUGAUCCAGCCAUCCCGCGUGUGCGAUGAAGGCCUUCGGGUUGUAAAGCACUUUUGGCAGGGAAGAAACAGCCUGGGAUAAUACCCCGGCGACUGACGGUACCUGCAGAAUAAGCACCGGCUAACUACGUGCCAGCAGCCGCGGUAAUACGUAGGGUGCAAGCGUUAAUCGGAAUUACUGGGCGUAAAGCGUGCGCAGGCGGUUUCGGAAAGAAAGGUGUGAAAUCCCAGGGCUUAACCUUGGGAACUGCACUUUUAACUACCGAGCUAGAGUACGUCAGAGGGGGGUAGAAUUCCACGUGUAGCAGUGAAAUGCGUAGAGAUGU
rnacentral:rRNA from 1 species